rnacentral:rRNA from 1 species
UGGGGAAUUUUGGACAAUGGGCGCAAGCCUGAUCCAGCAAUGCCGCGUGCAGGAUGAAGGCCUUCGGGUUGUAAACUGCUUUUGUACGGAACGAAAUGCUUCUGGUUAAUACCUGGGAGUCAUGACGGUACCGUAAGAAUAAGCACCGGCUAACUACGUGUCAGCAGCCGCGGUAAUACGUAGGGUGCGAGCGUUAAUCGGAAUUACUGGGCGUAAAGCGUGCGCAGGCGGUUAUGUAAGACAGAGGUGAAAUCCCCGGGCUCAACCUGGGAACUGCCUUUGUGACUGCAUGGCUAGAGUGCGGCAGAGGGGGAUGGAAUUCCGCGUGUAGCAGUGAAAUGCGUAGAUAUGCGGAGGAACACCGAUGGCGAAGGCAAUCCCCUGGGCCUGCACUGACGCUCAUGCACGAAAGCGUGGGGAGCAAA